GACGAACGCUGGCGGCGUGCUUAACACAUGCAAGUCGAACGGAAAGGCCCUGCUUUUGUGGGGUGCUCGAGUGGCGAACGGGUGAGUAACACGUGAGUAACCUUCCCUUGACUUUGGGAUAACUUCAUGAAACUGGGGCUAAUACCGGAUAGGAGCUCCUGCUGCAUGGUGGGGGUUGGAAAGUUUCGGCGGUUGGGGAUGGACUCGCGGCUUAUCCGCUUGUUGGUGGGUUAGUGGCUUACCAAGGCUUUGACGGGUAGCCGGCCUGAGAGGGUGACCGGCCACAUUGGGACUGAGAUCCGGCCCAGACUCCUACGGGAGGCAGCAGUGGGGAAUCUUGCACAAUGGGCGGAAGCCUGAUGCAGCACCGCCGCGUGCGGGAGGACGGCCUUCGGGUUGUAAACCGCUUUCGCCUGUGACGAAGCGUGAGUGACGGUAAUGGGUAAAGAAGCACAGGCUAACUACGU
rnacentral:rRNA from 1 species